rnacentral:rRNA from 1 species
GAUGAACGCUGGCGGCGUGCCUAAUACAUGCAAGUCGAGCGAACGGACGAGAAGCUUGCUUCUCUGAUGUUAGCGGCGGACGGGUGAGUAACACGUGGAUAACCUACCUAUAAGACUGGGAUAACUUCGGGAAACCGGAGCUAAUACCGGAUAAUAUUUUGAACCGCAUGGUUCAAAAGUGGAAGACGGUCUUGCUGUCACUUAUAGAUGGAUCCGCGCUGCAUUAGCUAGUUGGUAAGGUAACGGCUUACCAAGGCAACGAUGCAUAGCCGACCUGAGAGGGUGAUCGGCCACACUGGAACUGAGACACGGUCCAGACUCCUACGGGAGGCAGCAGUAGGGAAUCUUCCGCAAUGGGCGAAAGCCUGACGGAGCAACGCCGCGUGAGUGAUGAAGGUCUUCGGAUCGUAAAACUCUGUUAUUAGGGAAGAACAUAUGUGUAAGUAACUGUGCACAUCUUGACGGUACCUAAUCAGAAAGCCACGGCUAACUACGUGCCAGCAGCCGCGGUAAUACGUAGGUGGCAAGCGUUAUCCGGAAUUAUUGGGCGUAAAGCGCGCGUAGGCGGUUUUUUAAGUCUGAUGUGAAAGCCCACGGCUCAACCGUGGAGGGUCAUUGGAAACUGGAAAACUUGAGUGCAGAAGAGGAAAGUGGAAUUCCAUGUGUAGCGGUGAAAUGCGCAGAGAUAUGGAGGAACACCAGUGGCGAAGGCGACUUUCUGGUCUGUAACUGACGCUGAUGUGCGAAAGCGUGGGGAUCAAACAGGAUUAGAUACCCUGGUAGUCCACGCCGUAAACGAUGAGUGCUAAGUGUUAGGGGGUUUCCGCCCCUUAGUGCUGCAGCUAACGCAUUAAGCACUCCGCCUGGGGAGUACGACCGCAAGGUUGAAACUCAAAGGAAUUGACGGGGACCCGCACAAGCGGUGGAGCAUGUGGUUUAAUUCGAAGCAACGCGAAGAACCUUACCAAAUCUUGACAUCCUUUGACAACUCUAGAGAUAGAGCUUUCCCCUUCGGGGGACAAAGUGACAGGUGGUGCAUGGUUGUCGUCAGCUCGUGUCGUGAGAUGUUGGGUUAAGUCCCGCAACGAGCGCAACCCUUAAGCUUAGUUGCCAUCAUUAAGUUGGGCACUCUAAGUUGACUGCCGGUGACAAACCGGAGGAAGGUGGGGAUGACGUCAAAUCAUCAUGCCCCUUAUGAUUUGGGCUACACACGUGCUACAAUGGACAAUACAAAGGGCAGCGAAACCGUGAGGUCAAGCAAAUCCCAUAAAGUUGUUCUCAGUUCGGAUUGUAGUCUGCAACUCGACUACAUGAAGCUGGAAUCGCUAGUAAUCGUAGAUCAGCAUGCUACGGUGAAUACGUUCCCGGGUCU